AAUAAGCCUUAAUAGUACUCUAGCUUAGCACGCCCUCUGCUUCUGUUAAACUAACGGACAUGGAAGAAAACCUCCCUGGCUGUUUGAGCGACAGCUAGCAAGAUGUCUGUGUCCCAUUAUAAACGGUCUCAAAUGUGACAGAUUCCAGCCACAUCAUAGCUUCAGCAAGUGUCUGGAGAGAUCCUGUGAUAUCUACCUCUUAGUAGACACUGCAU